AUUGAACGCUGGCGGCAUGCCUUACACAUGCAAGUCGAACGGCAUCGCGGGAACGCUUGCUUUCCUGGCGGCGAGUGGCGAACGGGUGAGUAACACAUCGGAACGUACCGGCUAGUGGGGGAUAACCCGUCGAAAGACGGGCUAAUACCGCAUACGCUCUUCGGAGGAAAGCAGGGGACCUUUGGGCCUUGCGCUAGUCGAGCGGCCGAUGUCCGAUUAGCUAGUUGGUGGGGUAAAGGCCUACCAAGGCGACGAUCGGUAGCGGGUCUGAGAGGACGAUCCGCCACACUGGGACUGAGACACGGCCCAGACUCCUACGGGAGGCAGCAGUGGGGAAUCUUGGACAAUGGGGGCAACCCUGAUCCAGCAAUGCCGCGUGGGUGAAGAAGGCCUUCGGGUUGUAAAGCCCUUUCGGCAGGGAAGAAAUCGGCGGGGCGAAUAACCCUGCUGGAUGACGGUACCUGCAGAAGAAGCACCGGCUAACUACGUG
rnacentral:rRNA from 1 species